ACGAGAACACCCGCAAUGAGUACAGUGGGGAGAUCUUGAACAACUGCUGCGUCAUGGAGUAUCACCAGGCCACCGGCACGCUCAGCGCCCACUUCCGGAACAUGUCCCUGAAACGCAUCAAGAGGUCUGACCGUCGUGGGGCAGAGUCAGUAACUGAAGAAAAAUUCACUAUCCUGUUUGAAUCACAGUUCAGUGUUGGUGGAAAUGAGCUGGUUUUUCAAGUCAAGGUAAAGCCGUCCCUCAGCAGUGUGUCUGUGAGCACUCUAUUCACACAGAACUGUUUGGGUCACAGAGUCCCUUUUUAAAAAAUUUUUAUUGAUGAACAGAAAGUGAGGAUGGAUAUUUGUUACUUGCUUCCUCGCCCCCCCUGCUUGCACACACACCCCAAA